UCGCACGACUGUUCCGUCCGUCGUCAUAAAUCAACCCGAAUCGGUACGAAGGAAAAAUAACCCAGCCCCGACUCUGCAUCGUCACGCUCCGCCCCGCCUCACCGCGCGCCGCCAGCCGCUUCCUGCCACGCCCCGACCCGCCCCACCUCACCGGGCGCCGCCGGCCACCUCCUGCCUCCCACCCCGGAGAACGGCGACAGGCGGCUGCCAACGGAGGGAUCCAGGCGGAGGAGGGUUAGAGAGGCGUGCGGAAGGCCUACGAGGUUUGGGGGCGCCAGAUCUAGAGUUCGCGGUCCGGCGGCGUCAAAGCUCGGGCCGGAUCGAGAGGACUGGCCAUGGCGAGGUGGCAGUGACCAUGGCGUCGGCAAUGAUGGCAAGACUCGGCUACGGGUCCUAAUCAGAGGGGGAAACAAAGGGAAAAGUUGCGGCGACUCACGGUGAACUCGACGGCGAGGUCGGGGAGGCAGCAACGGCAAGGUAAUCGACGAUGAAGGACGGUGCCGGACUUGGAGUUGGAGGAUGAUGGCGACGGCUUCAGGGCGAAUCCGGCCGAGUCCUUGCGCGGGGAAGGAGAUUUCAAGGUUGCGGACCUCCUGGACAAGGUUGUUUCCUGCGGGGAGGCCGGUAGCCGUGCUUGUGGUGGUCCUCCUGUGGGCUGCAAUUUGCACCGUGAGUCCGUCGGUCCUAGCUCCAGCUGCACCGUGGCAUCACGGCGCUGGAGCGGCGCGGCUCAAGAUGGCAAUGGGGCCCCGAAACCCGCGUCCCCGCGGGUUUUUACCCUAUUAGGGGACGGGGAUGGGCGUCUUUUUAACCCCAUGGGGCUGCUGCUGGGUAAAUUAUAAAACCCAACAUGUUUCACGGGUUUAAACCCGUUUGAGCAAUACCCGAACCCGAAACCCGCCAUCCCCGUCAAAAUACUACACUAAGCCUAAUUGGACAUCUUGUUGAACAAUGUAUGGCUGAAUAAUGCUUUUGUUUGUUGCUGAUAUAUGCUUAUGUAGCUGCUGUUACUGCUCUUUGUAGCUGAUGUUAUUGCUCUUUUUUCUCAAGUUAUGCCGCAUAAAUAUGCUCCUUGUAGCUGCUGUUAUUGCUCUUUUUGCUCAAGUUCUGCUACUGAAAUAUGCUCCUUGUAGCUAUUGAACCAUGUACUAUUGUAUCCUGCUGAAAUUUUCGCAAGUUAUGCUGUUAAAAUAUGCUCCUUUUGCUGUUGAAAUGCUAUUCUUUGCUGCUAUUAUGUUUGCUUAAAUAUGUCGAUUUCCUCGUGGGUUCCUCGUUGGUUUAGAAAACCAAUAGGUUUAGGGGACGGGCAAAAAACUAGCCCCGCGCACGGUGACGGGGACGGGGAUGGGUUUGUGAUUUUCUCAUGGGGAUGGGUUUGAGCAGGCGGGUUUCGUCCCGGUUGCCAUCUUGAGGCGCGGCGCGACGCUGGAGACGGGCUCAGGACUGGGAGACAGAUGAACCAUGGCUUGGGAGCUGCCGCAGGGUGUGCGAGUAUCUAUUUUCUUUUCAGUUGUAUGAAUUUGGAACUGAAUUCUAAUGGGAGAGAUUUUUUUUAAGCCCUCGGCAUGACGUGCUUUCAUUAUUCUAAAAACUGUUCAUUCCAAUACACAAAUCAGAGUUGCAGAUUGAUUAUAUAGCAACAACCAGGAACUACCAUACAAUCUCCAUAUCACACAUUCCACCUAUGAGUAUGAAGAUCGGUGACAAGGCAAGAGCAAUCAUCACUAAGGUCUUAUAUGCUUAGCUGUCUCAUCCACUGAUGAUCUUUUUCAAGGAACAGAAGAAGGAUUUCUUUGUUCCUUUACAGAGGUAAGAAUACAUUCAGCACACUUUCUGACUGGGUGAAAUUGUGAUAUUUAGAAGUAGAAUCUACAUUUAUACUUGGAUGGUUCCAUGCACAAACCUCUAACCACAUUAGUGAACUACAAUGUCAUUUUUCUGGCCCUGUAAAAUUGUAAUUAUGCAUACUUAAUGCGACAUGUGCACGCGGUAAUUUUAUAUUCAGUUCUAAUAUGCUUGCUACUAUGUUGGUCUUCUGAGGCCUUCAUCUCUGCAGGAUCAAUCUGUUGAUUUUGGCACUUAAUAACUACAUCUUGAGCGUUGGAGGAGGUAGCCCGUGGACUGGUAAAGACGUGAAGGGGGACACGAGGAGGCUUGCGGUGGUUCUAGGCGCAUCUAUUCGGCGAGUAGCAGUGCGCUGUGUUGGACAGUUACCAGCCAAGAUGGCCGGCUGCCUCGCAAGGACACUACUUGUGGUCUUAAGAGUCCUGGAGCGGUGAGCAUCCGGGCUUUUUAUGGCGGAUCUGAAUAACGAACACGUGGAGAUCCUUGGCGUCAAUGCUGGAAACAGUAGCAACGGUAGUACUCGCUUUAGGUGCGUGCUCCUCCAAUCAAUAUACUUACAAUUGUGUGUAGCACUCUGUUUAUUGACAAAGUUCAGGAUAGACACCUUACGUUCAUGCGGUUUUGUGUGGGAUAACUGUUUUGAUAAGAUGGUAGCAUUGUCCAACUGAUCUUCCUUUUUCUGUUCAUAAUACUUGAUGUGUUUGAUUACUAGGCCAAGGGGUUUUAAGACAUGAAUCAAUUAAAUAGUGGAACAUGUCUUGCGUUUUAAUACCAGAAUCAUAUUUCAGACUGAUAUUUUGGUAAAAUGUUUGGGGCACCUAGAUCACCAACCGUUGGAUUGCUUUAGAAAUAGCACCAUGGAACAUGGAUAAUUUCCGCCCAGAAUCAGGUUUAACCCGUUAGUGCAUUUGAUUAAAAGUUGAUACAUAUUUUUGUGGCAACUAGCCUACUAUUGUUGUUCGUGCUGCUGCGGUGUAGUGAGAUGGAGACACCAGGACAGAGAGAGAUGAGAUGGUAUUUUUUUAUACUAUGUUGCCGUCCGCUUAUAAUAUGGAUCAAGGGUGGAGAGAGUUGCGAUGCUUUUUUAUUUUAUUUUAUGAUGAUAUUCGGUGUUAGUGCUGCUAUUCGCUGCUACUAUGCGGAUGAAAAAGAGAGAGAGAUCGUGUUGCGUAGUGCUUGCUUAUGGUAUGUUUAUCUGACGAUAAAUUUGUUGAUUUGUUUGUUACAACACAUGCAAAUAAACGGAUUUGCUGAGUGGCUGUAACACAGUUCCGAUGUAAUUUAAUAAAAUAUUAAUAUAUUAUGGGUCACCACAAAAGUGAACUGAUGAUGCAAUGUGGAUGUAGUAUAAUUACAUUGAUGUAACCAAGCUGAGCUAUGCACCAAAGUCAACAUUAACUCUGAUUAGCCUUUUGAUUCCAAUGUUCAUAUAAAGUGUUGUUAAGUAUUGACUCGAAUCCUUCCUCUUGACGAAGACUCUCAAUUCAAGUAAUUCAAACCUUCUUAGUUCGUAACAUUUGAUACAUGAAUUCUUGUUCGUACUUUAAUUUUGUUUUACUAUUUUUUUAGGGCAAGGGCUGCUUUAUUUAUUCCUUAGUUCACGACCAUCUCGUCCAAAAUAACGUCACGGAUAAAAAACAGAGAAACAUUAAACCAAGUUUCACACAAGUUAUUAACACAGUCUUUCCUCACAAGAAUAUCAGUCGCUUUGUUCGUCGAUCGCCUCGACCAGAUCACCCGAUGCUCAUCCUCACCAGUAAGCAAUUCCUUGAUCUCUUCUAUAAGAGGGCUAAACCUCGAACGUUCUUGAUCUCUUGAUUGGAAAGCAUGUGCCACACCUUGAUUGUUCUUCUUGAGACAAAGUUUCUCAACACUCAUUUCCACCGCCAACUGAACACCUGUUGCAACAUUUGAGUGGUAUGGUAAAUUACUUAUUUGAUUUCUGAAUAUUAUGUUGUACCCGUUGCAACGCUUGAUUUCUGAACAUUAUGUUGCACCCGUUGCAACGCACGGGCACGUGUGUUAGUUUAUUUAUUUUUUUCUCUCCCUAAUUAUUUAAUAAAUAAAGCAUGGAUCGACUUUGUCGGGUUCACCGUCACAAUACGCUUCUUUCCGUAAGUUUACGCUUUCACUUGGAAUUUAAAACAUAUCCGCGAGGUGGUACUAAUAAAAUUUGGUACGUCGUCGUUCCCGUUCGCUCGUCCAAAAAUCCCCAUCACGAUCUGAAAAUCCCCAUUGCCGUGAGGCUCCACCUAACCCACCUCCAUCCCCUGGCUUCGGCGCGCCUCCCGCCGACGGCCCUCCCAGCCCCAACGCGCCUCACGUCAUCGUCGCCCCGGCACCGGCCCCGGCAUGCCUCCCACCACCGGCGCCCAUCCCCCGACGUGCCUCUCGCCGCCGUCGCCCCGGCCCCGACGCACCUCUCUCCAUCCCCAGAUCGCCUCCCACUCCGCCCUCCAUCCCCAGCACGCCCCCACCAUCGGACCUCGGCUGGCGACCGCAUCCCCUGGCUCGGCUGCACGUGACCGGGAUCCCCCAUCUCCCAGGAAACCUCGCUGGUGCACGCCACCUCCCUCCUCCUAAGGUUGGGAGCGGUGUGAACUUUGAACGGAUCAGUGGUUGGACCAUCAGCAGUUAACUGCACCAACGCGACUGACGCCACCUCGCACGCCUUCGUCUUCGUCGACGGCAGUCAGCACCUCCAACGCAAAUCGAUUCAGCGCCGUCUGUGCAUGGCUCGGCUCCUGCGCUCUGCUGCUGCCACGGGGCCUAGUGCACCUCCCGUCCUCUGCUUUUCUCCGUGCGGAACUGUCUGUCUCGUGUCGCUGCUUGCACCUGCUACUGCUGGGAAUACGCUGUCCCGCGACGCCCUGUACUCAAUCUGUACCCGUGCUCUCUCUGGUCUCACGAACCAUCCCUACGGCCGCAAAGCUUCUCUUAGACCGGCUGCCAUGCAUCAAACUGAACUGCUGAGUUCAUUCCCCCAAAGUCCUGCAGAGCUUAUAGUAAAGAGGUGUACCCCGAUCUCCUCCGUUACUUAACAAUAUGGUGUGCUUUCUGAUGGAACGGACUCGUAGUAAACUAGGCAAAAAAUCUCAUGUUUAUGUGGAGACAAUUAGUGGCCUUAAUCACCCUAUCGGUGUAGCAGCCGCUAGCUUCAAAACAUAUUGAUUUAAGCUGGGCCAUGGGUGAGAAGAGAUAAGUUGGGCCCAAAAGAAGUU